rnacentral:rRNA from 1 species
AUGAAGAUAUAUCUCAAGAUAUGUUCACAGAAAAUACUUGAGAUGCAACUGCGUGUACGAAGCAAACUGAACCCAGGCUUCCAUCAUCCUUUUUCUCAUCUUACGACAAAAGAAAAUGACAGGUGGUUUUAUGUACACAGGAAAUGCAAAGGUAGAUCGACACCAAAGCGUGAAUCAUCUACUGCUACUCCUAAUUGGCUAAUAAUCCGUUUGCACACCAGGAGUCAACAGCGUGCCUGCCAAUGCCAAAGCAACCAGACACCAACGGCACAGCAAGAAACCCAAGAAAGAAGCAACAGGACCAGGCAAAAGCAGGGGACGGGGGAUGGACGGGCUAGGCUAAUCUAG